GACGUAGGGGGCCAGCGUUGUUCGGAAUUACUGGGUGUAAAGGGUUCGUAGGCGGUGCGGCAAGUUGGGAGUGAAAUCUCUGGGCUUAACCCAGAGGCUGCUUCCAAAACUGCUGUGCUUGAGUGUGGGAGAGGCGCGUGGAAUUGCAGGUGUAGCGGUGAAAUGCGUAGAUAUCUGAAGGAACAUCAGUGGCGAAAGCGACUUCCUGGACGAAUACUGACGCUCACGUGCGAAAGCGUGGGGAGCAAACAGG
rnacentral:rRNA from 1 species